rnacentral:lncRNA from 1 species
AAGCAAGAAAGAUGAAGUUUCAGAUUUCAUUAACCGCCACAUUUAUUACACUCAAGCCUUUAUAUAGCUUGCUAAUACUUAGCUUAUCAAGUAAGCUACUACAUAACCAAUACAAUCAAUACAUGUGGACUAAUACACUGUUGACACAUGUCCAAGUUUGUUAUCCUGUUAUUACCCCCCCUCAAUCUUAACCAAGGUACCAAGGUUAAGAUUGCCACAAUGAUGAACAAAUAUAGGACUAUGGAGACCCUUUGUAAAAAUGUCAGCUACUUGCUCCUUAGCUGGUAUGUAUUGAAUCAUGAGAUCCCCUUUUUGCACCUUCUCAUGAACAAAAUGAAAGUCGGUGUCAAGGUGUUUGAUACGAGAAUGAAAAACAGGAUUUGUACUAAGAGCAAGAGUUGAAAGAUUAUCAUAAUAUAAAACUGGAGGAGAGGGUAGAUACACAUGUAAAUCUCGCAAGAUAGAUCGAAGCCAACACACAUCUGCAGUACAAUGAGCAAGAGAUUUAUUUUCCGCCUCAGUAGAACUACGAGACACUGAAGACUGCUUCUUAGACUACCAUGAAACUGGAUUAUCAAAAAAAAAAAAAAAUACCACAUAACCAGUAAUGGAUCGCCGUGUAUUGAUAUCAGCAACCCAAUCGGAGUCGGAAUAAGCUGACAGAAGAGAAGAAGACCUAGAUUUAUAAGUCAAACCACAGUGAAGAGUCAUUUGAAGAUAUAUGAGGAUCCUUUUGACAAGAGAGAAAUAAGUAUCUAUUGGUUGACUCAUAUAUUGACACACAACACCAACUGAAUGAGCAAUAUUAGGGCACCAACUAAGCUUCUGUAUAAACUAGCAUCAGGAAGAGGUAUGCCAUUAGCAACAAGCAACUGAGAGUGUGGUUUUGCUGGAGUGGGGGCAGGUUUGCAAGUAUCCAUGCCUGCCUUAUUUAACAAUUCAGUAGCAUAUUUGGUUUGGUUAAUAAACAAAUCCCCAUUCUCUCUAUACUGAAUAUGUAAUCCUAAAAAAAUAGGUCAAUUUGCCCAUAUCUUUUACCUCAAACAAGUCACCAAGAGUGGUAAUAACAGUUUGAGCCUGAGAUGUAUCUGAGCCAGUGAUGAUUAUAUCAUCAACAUAUAAUAAGAGAAUCACCACAUUUGUGCCAUCAUACUUGACAAACAAUUUAGCAUCAGAUUGUGAGACAUUAAAACCAAGACCAAGUAAGACACUAGUAAAUUUUGAAUGCCAAGCUCGAGGAGCUUGUUUUAGUCCAUAUAGGACUUUACUAAUGUUUGUACCAUACUUGACCAAUCCCGAAACUACCGAGCACCGGCCAACGCUAUACUGUCAAGGACCCAGAAGAGUUCCCCUCCGACCAGGAGGCCAAUCACUAGAUUAGAAGCCAAUCAGAGCGCAGCACGUGUCAACAUCAAGAACCAAUCAUAACAUGACACAUGUCAAUGUGACAAAGCUACAAGUUUUUCUAUAAAUAGGGGUCAUCCCCCCACAAUAUUGCCUAAUGCCAUUUGUGUUAAAUCAUUCACAAGAACUCACUAAAUUGAGAGCUUGAUCCUUUGUACUUGUGUAAGCCCUUCACUACUAAUAAGAACUCCUCUACUCCGUGGACGUAGCCAAUCUGGGUGAACCACGUACAUCCUGUGUUUGCUUCUUUGUCUCUAUUCAUUUACGUACUUAUCCUCACUAGUGACCGAAGCAACCAAGCGAAGGUCACAAAACCUGACACUUUCUGUUGUACCAAAGUCUUCGCUGAUUUUGUGCAUCAACAACUAAUAUGCAUACAUAGUUAGGAUGCUGAGAAUCAACAAAACCUUGUGGUUGAUGCAUGUAAACAUUUUCUUGCAAAUCACCAUGCAAGAAGGCAUUUUUAAUGUCAAGCUACCGUAAAGGCCACUUACACGAAGUAGCUAAGGCUAAAAUAAGUCUGACAAUGGAAUGCCUCACCAUUGGACUAAAAGUCUCAGAAUAGUCAGUUCCCUGUUCUUGAGUGAACCCUUGAGCCACUAAUCGAGCUUUGUAACGAGAUAUACUACCAUUAGAAUUCCUUUUCACUUUAUAGACUCAUUUACACCCAACUAUGGAUCGUUGAGAUGGAACAUGAACCAAUACCUAAGUCCCUUGAGAUUUUAAAGCAUCAAAUUCCUGUUGCAUUGCCUUUUGCCAUAAAGGGUUCAUAGAAGCAGUCCUAAAAGUUUUAGGUUCUUUUAUAUCAACUAUAUCAGCAAGAUAAGUAAAACCAGAAAAGCUAUACUCAUUUGAAGCAAGUUGGAGUGAAGAUGACUCUAGAGACAUUGCCAAAUAAGCUGAAUAAUCAUGUUUGGAUAUUGCACCUAUCUUUAAUCUAGUUUGAAUUGGAGAAUUAUGAACAGAUUGGUCAAAAUGGAAUAAUACCUGCAACUGAGCAGAAUCUAGGACAUGUAACAAGGAGUGUGGAGGAGUGGCAUUAUAAUAAGUUGUUGAUGUUGAUGUUUUAGAUUCUUGUAUACUGGGAUCAACCAUUGAAUGUGAUGAAGACAUGUUUGACAUACUGGAAACAGAAGCGAAAGUACUUGAGGAACUAUCAUGCAUACCACCAAUACCAGUCUGAGGAGUGAUUACAAGUAAAGUAACCACUAAUGGAGGAACUAAUCGAGUCUCUUGAACAGUUGGAACACAUUGAGUUGUAGCAACAUAGAGCUUAACAGGAAACACACUUUCAUCAUGGAUAACAUAUUUGGAUAAAAUCAUUUUCAUGGACUGAAGAUUAUAGCAAAUAAUACCUUAUAUCCAGCUGGAUAGCCCAAAAACACACAUAACAUUGAUCUAGGUUGUAGUUUAUUGGAAUUAUAUGGCUUGAUAUAGGGAAAAACUGUUGUGCCAAAAAUCUUGAGAUGUUGCAACAUUGGUGGUUUCUGAUAUAAAGCCAGAAAUGGGGAAUCCAUAUACAAAGAUUUACAGGGCAUUCUGUUAAUUAAAUAGACAACAUGUGCACAUGCAUGAAACCAAAACUCCUGAGAUAAACCAGCAACAAAAAGUAAAGUAAUAGCAAUUUCAAUAAUAUGUCUAUUUCUCCUCUCAACAAAUCCAUUUUGUUGAGGAGUUGGACAUGAGAUCCUGUGUAGCCUUUAGAACUAAAAAAACCUCUAGUAUAUUUACCACCUCCAUCAGAUUAGAAGUACUUAACAGAGGCAUUAAAAUGUACUAAAAGGAAGGUAUAAAAUCUCACAAAGAUGGACAAAACAUCUUAUCUAUUGCAUAAAGGAAAGAUCCAUACAAAAGGAGUACAAUCAUCCACAAAGAUUACAAAAUACUUAUAUCCUUCAAUGGAUUUUAUUGGAGAGGGACCCCAAAUAUCAGAAUGAAUCUUUUCAAAGGGUACUAAACAUCUAUAAGACUUUUAAGGAAAGGGUAAUCUUGACAUCUUCCCAUAAAUACACAAGUGACACAUUGUACACUGAUCAUCUACUACAUUACUUAUUUGUGACUGUUGCAACAUAACAGAUAAGACCUCAUUAGUAGGAUGCCACAACCUUUGAUGCCAUACAGAAGACUUGAUUAAUUGCCCAAGAUAUGCUAAAGUUGGAACAUGUUGUACUAAAGAAUGCAGAGUCUUGAAAACAGGAAUUUGAAACAACUCAUUUUGCCUACUCCUGCCUUGGUGAAAAACCUCCUUGGUUACCUUGUCCUUCACAAAGAACAAAGAUUCAUCACAAAUGAACCAACACCGAUUGUCUUUGCAAAGUUGUUUAACAGAUAACAAAUCCUUAGUAAGAUAAAGAACAUGAAGAACUUGAGUUAGUUUAAGAGAAUGAGAUGGUGUAUGAAGCAUUGUAGAGCCAACAUGCUUGAUAGGCAAACCUUGACCAUUGCCUAUUUUGAUUCUGUUAGUGCCUUCAAAAUGAGUGACUUGAUUCAAGUUGUUAACAUAUGAGAUCAUAUGAUGGGAGACUCUAGUAUCGACAAUCCAAGUAUCGCCUGUAGGGUAGGUAGCUAUAGUAUGGGCAACCAUAGCUUGCAUAGAAGAACUGAAAGUUGAUGGUCUUAGAAAAGAUGGUUGAGACGAUGAAUUUGUAGACUGUGGAUGAGCAAAAUCAUGCUAAAGUGAGACAGGCGGACCACUGCCUUGAUAAGCCUAAUUACUUCGAUGAUAACACUCCAAUACAAUGUGUCCACAUUUCCCACAAAUUUGACAUUUAAUGAAAGUAGAAGAAGAUACAGAAUUUCUGUGAAAACAGUUAGGAGUCGUGUGAUCCAUUUUCUGACAAAUCUGACACUCAUGUUGCAUAGUAAAACGAGAAUCAGUGUUACAAGUCCAUCAUCUUUGCUUGUAGCCUCCAUUAUUACCUCCGCCUUUGUUAUAUUUGUAACCACAAUUAUUUCUUUGGGAACCACCAUAGGAAGGCCUUGAUUGAAAAGAAUUCUGUGAAAAAGGCAGAGAAUUAUGUGAUUGAGAUCCAUAAGAAGUAUUAGAACCAAUAUACCCAAAGCCAUAUCCAGAAGUAGAAGCAGCAUAUGGAAAUGAUGGCGGUGGUGGUGGUGAGACAUUAUAUGGUAGAGGUGGAGCAUUAUAAGAAGCUGGAUGGAUCGGUGGAACAGUGGACGGAUAAUAGGGACCAGGAGUAAUAGUACCAACAGUUGCAGAUGAAAUAUCAACAUGAGAUUGAGGAUGAGAGGAAGAGCCCCUUUUGUGAAAUCCCGUUCCUGGAUUUCAUUGUUAUAAUCUAUGUAUUUGUAUUAUUGAGAUUUUAUAUUAUAUUUUAAGAAAUUAUAUUAAUUUAUUUGGAUUUAGAUUUUAAUUAAAUUAGUUACGAAGUUUGGAAAUUAAUUAUCUAAAAUUCGUUGACCUUUUGAGGUCACAAGUAACGUAUUCGAAUAGAUCUUGAAACUACGAGAGCAUAGGCGAAAGCCAUUUGCGAGUCCGGAUUAUAACAUUAUAGAUACAGACAUUUGAAGUUAUGUUACAAAACUAUAGAUUUUAAAUUUAUUUUAAACUCCCACCUUGUGGGAAAGAGGUCAAUCAGAUUUAUGUGAGUUAAGGAAACCGAUCAGGAAAAAGAAGAAGGAGGAAAAUGAGAGGAAACACCCAAGCAACCUUGACCCGAUUUCAAACCCUGACCCGGUUGUAUCUCUUAUGUCCGAUUGAGGUGAUUUUGGUGUCUAUGAAAAGCUCUCGGCCAACCCAACAUCUUUGUGGCAUUAUAUUUCUCACUUUUUAACCCAAUUUUACAAACUGAAGCCACAAAGUCCAUUGUUUUUUGUCGGUUUUCUCAUUUUUUCGUUGAAUCCGACAAUGAUUACCGUCGACCACCACACCAAAAGACUUCCCUCAACCUCAAGAACAAAACCCAUGCAUUGGCUGGGGCGUCGAAGUUCAUUUUGGCAUCGAAUCAAGAACACCUAAUUCUAGGGUUUCGGCGGUUUGUGGGCAAUUUGAGGUGUUUCCUGGCCAAAUUGGACUUUGCCACAAGUAUAAAACUUGCUCUGCUCACUAAGAUCUAUUUUCUUGUAAAAUUUGGUAAUUUUUGGAAAUAGUUGAAUUUUUCCGCAAGUCGGGGUGGCCUACCGCCACCUGCGGCGGUGCGUGUCCAGUGGGCUAACAAUGCCUUUCUAAGUCCAAUUAGAUGCCAUGAAUUCAUAAUUGGUAUUUUUAUGAAGUAGUUUGAUUGUUUGAACUUAGUUUCAUUAUGAUACAUCACUUGAUCAAAAUUUGAAUCGAAGAUCCGACCGUUGGAUCGUCACCAAACUUUAAUGCGUUAUAGAACGUAAUAUUUGAGGAUAGCUGAACUUAUGGAUUGGGAAUUUGACUACAGAUCUUUCCGAAUUAGAUUUCUAAGUUAGUAAAAUUAAUUGUUAACCGCCACCUAAUUCUAGCAAUUGGUGAAGAUCCGACCAUCGGAUCGCGUUGAUGAUAUUUUAGUAUGUUGUUCUUUAAGCAUAAUGUGGACAUUAGGAAGUUACAGAUCUAGAUUAUGAUGUGCAGAUCUUCCGGAUUAAAUUGCUGAGGUGUGGACCCCAUCGUUGAUUUUUGGUCAACAGGUCUUGAACCAUUUAAAUUACACAAAUUAGUAUUACUAAAGACUCAAUGAGGCUUUGCGAACUUGUCUCGGUGAGUGACUUUAAUAUAUGUGAUAUGGUGAUUACCCGAUUCUUUAUAUUAAUAUCCUUUGUGGAUAUGACAUGGUUUUAUAAAUGUGUUUUCUGUUAAAAUGUGAUUAUUUUAUAAUUGGUCAUCAAUCUAUUUUUAUUAAAUAUGAUUUGAUUCAUUGAUUGGUAAUAUUUGUGGAAAGUGGUUCGAAUUGCAUGUUGAAAUGUUUUGUAAAUUGAGGGCUAGUAGGGGACUAUGACCCUGCUUGGUUAAUCCGCAUUGAGAGAUCACUAGUGGUCUUGCUUGGUUAAUCCGCGUUAGGGGACCAUACUAUAUAUGGAUCGCGCUUGGUUAAUCCACAUUGGGCGAUCCUUAUGACCAUUUAUACUGAGGGGUGAUCAUGCUUGGUUAAUCCGCGUUGGGUGAUCACUGCCUAACAGUUCUGUAGGUGUAACUCUGCUUGGUUAAUCUGCGUUGGGGGGUCACUACCUACCUGAUUAUCUUGAUCCUGCUUGGUUAAUCCUCAUUGGGAGGGUCACUAGUGGUCCUACUUGGUUAAUCCGUAUUAGGGGGAUCAUACUAUAUAUGGAUCGUGCUUGGUUAAUCCGCAUUGGGUGAUCACUUCCUAACAGCUGUAGGAGUGACUCUGCUUGGUUAAUCCGCAUUGGGGGGUCACUACCUGCUUGGUUACUUUCUUAGGGGUGGCUCUGCUUGGUUAAUCUGCUUUGGGGGGCCACUUCCUGUUUGGUUACUUAUGUAGGUUUCGGCCGAACUGCGUCCCUUUAGCCCUAGUUUUUAAUGUUCAUAUGAACGAUGUUUUUUGAGAAUCUUGUGGUUUGAAUUAGAAAAGCUGUUGGAUGUCUGGGUGACUCAUUCGGAGUUUUCAAACUUGAUUAUGAUUUCAUAAAGCAUGAUUCUAUACUUGAUAUUUAUAGAUUAUGAUCGAUGGUCUGUUUAUAUUGAAUAUCACAUAUUUGUUUUAUUGUCACUCACCCGAGCUUCGCAACUUAUCCAAGUUCUGAUUUGCCCAAUGCACCAUUUUCAUGAUGUAGGCACUGAUUUUACAUGCGACAGGUCUGGGUAGAUUACGAGAAACUGAUUGAUAUUUUGGUUCUGUUGAGUGGUCCAGAACCCAAUGUGGUUGGAUUCCGUUGAGUGGUCCGGAAUCCUUACUCUUGCACAUUUCCAAAAGGUUAGUUUAGAACCCUAGAUUCGAGUGAAUGAGAAUUGUCCACAUUAGACCUUGUGAACAUAAAUUAGUUUUGCCAUGUUGUUACUCAUGAUCCAAGUAGGAAAUUAUAUAGAGUUCUUUAAUUAAAUUCGUGAAAUAAUAUGUUAUCGUAUUAAUUGAUUAAUGUAGUUAAAUGCUAAGAUCAUGCAUCUUUAAUUCAUGAAUUGUUUAAUUUACGGGAUUGUGGAAUGACGUUGAAGAUAAAGUGAAUUAUGUGAUAAUUGUUCGAGUGUAAUAAAUGACGAACUACGAAUGGCUUGAUCCCUAUUGAGGGUACGUAGGCAGUCUAACGAGAGGUUAGAUGCAUCCAUAAAGUAUACAAAAAAAAUCACUACUCAAUUUGAGGCUUGAGCGUGCUUGGUACAUAUUCCGGAGGUGGGGUAUGUUAGAUAUACGGAUACUUGGUGACGUCACGUGUCGAUCCUGGACGUAUGUCGGGAUCGGGGCGUGACACCCUUGAUUAGGAAAAACCUUUGAAGAUGAACCCUGAACAUACAUAGCAGCCAUCAAAUUAGAGAGAGUAUGUUCCAUAGUCUCAAUAUCCCUUUUAGUUUUCAACAGUUGAGCAAGAAAUUCUUUCAACGAGAUUGUAUUUUCACAAGCCAAGAUGACUGUUCGGAUAAUAGCAUAUUCCUUGGGAAGACCAGCUAGAGCGACAAUGAUGAAAUCAUUCUCAGAAAUGUGUUCUCCAGCAGCAAGUAAUUGAUCCCUGAUGGAUUUAAGCCUAGACAAAAACUUGUCAAUGCUAUCAAAUCCCUUUUGGAGAGUUUGAAACUCUGUCUUAAGCAUAUUAAUUCUCGAUUUGGACACAGUGGCAUAUUUAUCUUCAAGAAUCAACCAAGCCUCACUAGCAAUUUUGCAACCAAGCACAUGUUCAAUAGCAUCAUCAAACAAAGUAACAAAGUAAGAAGUGCUAAAUCCACUGUCUCCCAUUCUUGAAAAUUAGAAGAGAUUUCUCUAGUGACCCUAGAUUCUGUACUGAUCACAAAUUUAGGCGGACAAAUAGAUGAACCAUCAAAAUGAUCAAAAAGCUUGUACCCUCGAAGAACAACCUUGAAUUGAAAAACCUCGAGUAAUUUGUAUCAUUAAGCUUGAUGGUUAACAUCCCCAAAAUACUCUCAAUUUUCACAAUAGGGAAAGUCAUCUUGUGUCAAAGCAAGAAAUUAACAAAUACCCAAAAAAAGUACACCAAUUUCACACUAGUAAUGGCUAUAGGCCUUCAAUGUAUGAAGCUCUAAAAAAAAAAAAAUCCCAAUCUUGAACAAAGAAAUCACGAAAAAAAAAGAUCAAGAUUCAUAUCUAUGCAUUGGCCUUCAAGUAUAUCACAAAUCAAACACUAGAACCAAGAGAAAUCACAAAUCUUAUGGCAAUCGGCCUUUAAGUAGUGUAAUCGGCAAUCGGCCUUCAAGAAUCAAUUAGCAAUUGACUUUUCAUUAAUCAUUCAAUGGAAUUAACUGAUGUAACUAAAUAACCUAGCAGAGACAGAGAGUACAUAAAUCAUCGAAAAUUGCAGUCGGCGAUACAGAAAUCACCAGAAAAGUACGAAGAUCACAGUCUGCGCUACCCAAAAAACUCCACUGUAAAUCUCGAACCUUCUCCUUGAGUUGCAGUAAGCGGAAGCAAUUAUGAACAGAGUAAUUCCACAAAGGAAGAACCUGCUCUGGAUACCAUAUUAACUAUCUUGAAUUAUCACAAAGAUUAUGCAGUGAAGAAAGAAUUGUAGAAAAGCUUUUAGAGAGCAAAGCAAGAAAGAUGAAGUUUCAGAUUUCAUUAACCGCCACAGUUAUUACACUCAAGCCUUUAUAUAGCUUGCUAAUACUUAGCUUAUCAAGUAAGCUUCUACAUAACCAAUACAAUCAAUACAUGUGGACUAAUACACUGUUGACACAUGUCCAAGUUUGUUAUCCUGUUAUUAGUUGUUACCAUAGCAUCUACAAGCAACAACACACAUGGAUACAACCAACCAUGCAGAAUGCUGCAUAGGCAAGAACUGCAGUGCUGAUCAUGUGAGUAUCUCUUUCCUUUGCUUGUAUUUGAUUUCUCUUAUUUCUUUCCAUCGGAUUUGUUUCCUAUGAUGAGGGGAUUUAUUUUCAAACACUUCUCUUUAAUAACCAUAUAGUUAUAACUGAUUCAUGUAACUAUAUUGGUUAAUCAAUUGGUUUGAGUUAGUUAGAAGAAAGUUGUUAGAAAGGGUAAUUGAGUCAUUCUGUAUUGAAAGGUUAGCUAUUAUAAAUAGCUCUUGUAACUGUCAUUUGUGAUAUAUUGGAUUCAUUUUGCUUUUCUGAAUAUACAAAGCUUUCGUCUUCCUCUUUUCAUCAUUCUUUCUGCUACUGUUCUAUAACAUUGGUAUAUCAUUUUAGUCUAUGUUAAUAUGGUAUCAUCGCCGGAGAAGGCUCGCUGCUGUUUUCGAUCCUAGGGUUUCUUCCACUACUCUGGUUCAGUUUCUUGGUGUUUCCCCCCAAUGAUUUUCUUCGCUGGGUUCUUUGGACGUUUGGGCUACUGACGUUUCCACUGGUGUUCGAAGGAUUGACGUUGUGGUUGAAGAAUUGAUUCCGUUCAGGUGAUCUCGUUCCUGUUUCUUCAUCUGGAUUUGUGUCUUGAAUGUUGAUUUUGUUUCUGGAUAAUAAUGGAGUUUGAGAGUCUGUUAUGAUUCUUGUGAAUUGGGGAUUCUGUUAUGUUUUCUCCUGAGUUGAUGAAUGAAUUCUGAUAUAGUAGUUGUGUUUUUUAAUGGAGUUUGAGAGUCUGUCAUGAUUCUUGUGAAUUGGGGAUUCUGUUAUGAUUUCUCCUGCAUUGGUAAAUUGGUGAAUGAAGUAUGAUAUAGUGUUUUGUGCGAUAGUUAAUUGACGGGUUGAUAGUGCUAUUCUGGUAUAUCAGUUUUUAAGAAGGUUGUUCGUAUUUCUUUGAUUCACGAUUUUCUUGCAAGAAAGUGUCAAUCUUUCUUGUGUUGUCCACGGUGUUCAUCUCUCUGGUUAGUCGGUUUUGGAUUUGUGGCAAUGUUCGUUUGUUUGUCAUGGCUGCGUCUUCGUUUAAAGUUGAAAGUGUUUUAGGAAUGCUUACUAUCAAGCUUAGGGAUGAUAAUUUUGCUAAGUGGGCUUUUCAGUUUCAGUCGGUGUUAAGAGGAUAUAAGUUGUUUGGUCAUUUUGAUGGUACAACUCCUUGUCCAUCAAAGUUUGUUGUUGAUUCAAAUAAUGGGGUCACAAGGGAGAUCACAGGGGCGUAUACUGAAUGGGAGACAACUGAUAUGGCUUUGUUGAGCCUCUUGCUUGCUACUCUUACUGAUGAGGCUAUGGAGUAUGUGAUUGGGUGUCGAACGGCGUAUGAAGCCUGGAAUAAUCUGGUUGAUAGAUAUGCCACUGUGUCUAAAUCCAGAAUCAAUCAUUUGAAAAUUGAAUUACACACAAUUCAAAAAGGAUCCGAUACGGUUGAUAAGUAUCUGUUGAGGCUUAAACAUAUUAGAGAACAACUUAGUGUUGCAGGUGAAUCUAUCUCAGAUAAUGAUGUUAUGAUUGCUGGUCUUGCUGGAUUACCUAAGGAGUAUGGUGUUAUUCGUACUGUUAUAUUAGCCAGGGAAUCUACACUCACGUUGAAGGAGUUUCGAGCAUUGUUACUUGGUACUGAAAGGGAAAUUGAAGGGGAACUGAAUACACUGUCAGCACUCUAUGUUCAAGGGUCAAGUUCGGGUUCCAACACUGGUUUUGGUUCUUCUGCUUCAUCUUCCAAUUCUCAAAGUCAUGCACAUAUUCCAGCUAUCACUGCUGGCACUAGUACUGUCACUGCUUUACCUAAUGUUUCACAAUCGUCCCUCCCACCACCUCAAGUUCAACAGUCAUAUUAUUCUCAACCUCCACCUCAGUUUCCAAAUGACUCAGUUGGUUAUGGUUUUUCUGCAAAUUACAGUGGUCAAAAUGCACCUAGAUCACAGUCUUUGAAUGCACAGUCUGGAUCUUUUGGGAAUAACUAUAGAGGUCACAAUAACUAUAGAGGUGGUAACAAUUACAGAUAUAACAAUGGCUUCCGAGGAAGGGGAUAUAGUUCUGGCAAUUCAGGGGGUUCAAGACAAUCUGGGAAUGGAAAUAAUAAUUGGUCCGGUAUGGUUGAUACUAGAACUACAGUGCUGAUUGAAUGUCAGAUUUGCAACAAACGAGGGCACACUGCAGUAAAUUGUUUUCACAGGAAUUCAAAUGUCCCAACUACGGGUGUUGUUGUCAAAUGUCAAAUAUGUGGGAAGAGGAGUCACUCAGCCUUGGAUUGUUCUCAAAGGGGAAACUAUGCUUAUCAAGGACAACCUCCACCUCCAUCAUUGUCUGCAAUGACUGCACAACAGACUUCUCAGUUUCUUCCUCCUGAUGCUUGGAUUGUUGAUUCUGGUGCGUCACAUCAUAUCACUUCUGAUAUUAGUGCUCUCUCUCAAGUAAUACCUUUUGAGGGAUCUGAGAAGAUAACAAUUGGGAAUGGUACAGGUCUACCAAUUAAGAAUAUUGGUUCAACUAUGCUUCACACUCCUAAACGUUCUCUAAUUCUUAAUAAAGUUUUACAUGUGCCUAAUAUUGCUAGGAGUUUACUCUCUGUGAAACAGUUAUGUGCAGAUAACAACAGUUGGUUUAUCUGUGAUGAUUCUGAAUUCUUUGUGCAGGACAAGAAGACAAAGGAGAUAGUGUACCACGGAAGGAGUAGGCCUGAGGAAUUGUUCCAGAUCCCUGUGGUUAAAAGUACAAAGGGUUCUCAGUUCAUAACACAGUAUCCAGCAGCUUAUUUGGGCAAAGCAGUGAAGAAUACUAUCUGGCAUCAGAGAUUGGGACAUCCAGCUCAUGAUGUACUGACUACAAUGUUGAAACAGUCCAAUAUUUUAGUACAAACAGAUGAUAAUCAUAGUACUUGUAUCUCUUGUAUUCAAGGCAAGAUGUCUAGGAUUCCAUUUCCGGUUAGAACUGAUAGGUGUACAUUUCCUUUUCAGAAAGUACAUACUGAUGUCUGGGGUCAUCACCUGUAAGAUCCAUAGAGGGAUAUAGGUAUUAUGUAACAUUUGUUGAUGAAUAUACAAGAUUUGUUUGGAUAUUUCCCAUGAGCAAUAAAUUUGAUGUGUUUACCAUCUUUGUUAAGUUCUACAAGUUUAUUCUUAAUCAAUUUGGUACAUCAAUCAAGUCAUUGCAAACAGAUGGGGGAAUGGAAUAUACAAGCAAGAGUUUUACUUCAUUUCUAGCUGACAAGGGCAUUUUGCAGCUCAUAUCUUGUCCUUAUACUCCUCAACAGAACGGAGUGGCAGAAAGGAAACAUAGGCAUAUUUUGGAAACUGCAAUCACCCUUCUUAGUGCUUCUGUUUUACCUUCUGAGUUAUGGUACUUUGCUUGUGCACAUUCCGUUCUGUUAAUCAAUAAUAUGCCUUGCAAAAGUUUAUCUUUCAGUUCUCCAUACUUGUCUUUGUACAAGAAGGUACCUGAUAUACAAUCUCUUAAGAUUUUUGGCUCUGCUGUAUUUCCAUGGCUGAGACCUUACAACAUUAAUAAGUUACAACCACGAUCAGUGAUGUGUGCAUUCUUGGGCUAUUCACAGGGGUACAAAGGAGUGAUUUGUUAUAACUUACAGACCAAGAAGUUUAUCAUUUCUAGACAUGUCUGUUUUGAUGAGUCUGUAUUUCCUGCGAAAAUGGUUCAACACACAAGCCCUGCACGGGUGGAUAGACAUGAUGACCAUGCACAACCAAGGGAUGUACCUGUUAUUGUUUCUAUACCAGUGUCACAUGCAAAGAGAUCUACGGAUUCUGCAGAAUCACAGAACUCUUUAUCUCAAUCAGGCACAUAAAUACUUUCUCCAAAUACUACUACAUCAGAAGAUCAUGUUUCACCAGCAUUAGAAAAUCAGGGGUCUGGAACACCUUAUGCUCAUUCCUCUUCACCGAUUACUACUCCUUUGCUUCCUGUCAUUGAUCCUGCACAACUCCAGGUAGUUUCUUCCUUUUUUCACAUCCUACUAAUUCAGUCAUCACAGAUGUCAAUCAGAAUUGUGUAUCCAAACCAGGUUAAAAACUGGUACCAUUGUUAAGAAGAGUUAUGUGGGAUGUCUUGCUUCUCUACCUCAGUUUGCAAUUCCUUACAUCUUGAUGAGUUAUUCUAUGCUGAUUUUUCUACCAACUUCCAUCCAACUUUGUCUGGAGGUUUUUCAUUUCUUGCUGACAUCACGGAUGGGGAAGAACCUAGAAAUUUUAAGGCUGCAUCAUUAAAACCAGAAUGGCAACUUGCUAUGCAAGAGGAGUUUAAUGCACUGAAAACUCAAGGCACUUGGAUCCUUGUUCCCACCUCCAUCUCAUCGGUCUAUUAUUGGAAGUAAGUGGGUGUAUAAGGUCAAGAAAAAAUCCCGAUGGUAGUAUAUCUCGGUUCAAGGCCAGGUUGGUGGCACAGGGGUACUCUCAGGAGCACGGCUUGGAUUACUCAGAGACAUUCAGUCCAGUGGUUAGACAUACCACUGUACGACUUAUCUUAGCCUUAGCAGCUCAGUUCAGUUGGCAAUUAAGACAACUUGAUAUCAAAAACGCUUUUCUUCAUGGAGACUUGGAAGAAGAGGUUUAUAUGAAACAACCACAGGGGUUUGUGGAUGCUACAUGUCCUGAGCAUGUCUGCAAAUUGGUUAAAUCUCUUUAUGGUUUAAAACAGGCUCCUCGAGCUUGGAAUUCCAAAUUUACUAGCUUUCUACCUGCUAUUGGUUUCCAAUCCUCUCUUUCCGAUAGUAGUCUAUUUGUCAAACUUGAUGGUGGAGACAUAAUCCUUUUAUUGUUGUAUGUUGAUGACAUAAUUCUCACUGGUUCAAACUCAGUUAAACUAUAGUCUGUAAUUGAUGAUCUUGCUGGUGUGUUUGAUCUCAAAGAUAUGGGACGGUUAACCUAUUUUUUGGGGCUGCAUAUACAGUAUCGAGAUGAUGGUUCCUUGUUUAUCUCUCAGACUAAAUAUGCUAAGGAUGUGUUAAAAAAGGCAGGCAUGGAGACCUGUAAGUUUACUUCCACGCCAUCUAAGCCUCAUACUCAAAUUCUUGCGGGUGAAGGAACAUUGUUAUCAGACCCGAGUCACUAUCGAAGUAUAGUUGGGGCACUUCAAUACCUCACUUUACUCGACCUGAUAUAGCCCAUUCGGUGAACAUGGUUUGUCAAUUCAUGGCACAACCAACUGAUUUACAUAUGUUCCUGGUCAAACGCAUCUUGCGGUAUGUACAAGGCACUAUUGGCUAUGGCUUACAGUAUACAAAAAGCAAGGACUUCAAUAUAACUGCUUACUCUGACUCCGAUUGGGCAGCAUAUAUCAACACAAGAAGAUCCAUUACAGGGUUUGUUGUGUAUCUUGGAACAAAUCCAAUUUCUUGGCAGUCUAAGAAGCAGUCCACGGUCUCUCGAAGCUCUAUCGAGGCAGAGUACAAGGCAUUAGCACACUGUGCAUCUGAUGUGUUUUGGAUCCGCUCUGUCUUUAAAGAUAUUCAUCAAACCAUAUCCGUCCCACCAUCCUUGUACUGCGAUAACCUCUCGGCAUUGGCUCUAAGCUCUAAUCCAGUUUUUCACUCCAAGAUCAAACACCUUGACACUGAUUUUCACUUUGUGCGUGAGAAGGUCCAGAAAGGAGAUCUUAUAGUUCACUAUAUUCCGACAGAGGAUCAGGUAGCUGAUGUAUUCACCAAGGGGUUACAUAGUCCAAUCUUUCAAAAACAUUGCCGAACUCUUGGCUUGGGAGUUGGUUCUGCAACAAACUUCACUUCGGUAGCUCAGCUCAGUUUGAGGGGGGAGUAAUAACCAUAUAGUUAUAACUGAUUCAUGUAACUAUAUUGGUUAAUCAAUUGGUUUGAGUUAGUUAGAAGAAAGUUGUUAGAAAGGGUAAUUGAGUCAUUCUGUAUUGAAAGGUUAGCUAUUAUAAAUAGCUCUUGUAACUGUCAUUUGUGAUAUAUUGGAUUCAUUUUGCUUUUCUGAAUAUACAAAGCUUUCGUCUUCCUCUUUUCAUCAUUCUUUCUGCUACUGUUCUAUAACAUUGGUAUAUCAUUUUAGUCUAUGUUAAUACUCUUCACUUUGAUGCUGCAUCAAGGUAAAGAAAAGAUUACGUUUCCAAGUUUUCAAUCGAUUUUAAGAAUUGGAUAGAUAGAAGCGGGGAACAAGCAGAGAAAAUGCAAUCCUUUUUUGUUCCUAGAAAAUAAGUGAUUCAGAAUAUCGAAUUGUAAAUAUAUGUAGCUUUGUUUGUUUUUCUUUGCUCCCUUUUGCAAACCUUCAGUUCUAUAGUAACUUCACUUCCUUUAAACAUUGCAUCAAACAUCCUCCUUCCUCAUAUUCCUUACAUCUAUUUUUUAUUUGUUAGUUUUCAAACUUUAUGUAGGACAUUUGAAGUUAUCAUGAAAUAAAAGCUUGACGGAGUCGUGACACCCUGGAUGCGUGCAAAGUUGAUGAAGGCGUGAGGGGUCAACCUGUCAAGCAGCAACUCAAUCAACGGCCCAACAAACACCUCCGCCAUGGCCACCAUUGUUUCUUUGGUUGUCAAGCAAGGAUUGCAAUGAAUAAAGACGGGAAGGGUGAACAAAAGAAAGAGUAGUGAGUACUGGGAACUAAAACGUUCACAAGCACUGGACACCUGGUCAAACUAGUUAGGCUGAGAACUGGAAACUGUGUGUUGAUGAAGACUUUAAUUCAAUGCUAAUCGCACUGUAAACCUUACACUUUCCCAAAGCUUGAAUAUUUAACUUUUUAUUUGAGGAAUCCAAAGGCAAAGGUGCUUCAAUCCAUGGCAAAUACUAGGAAAUUAUGCAUAACAAAAGGGCUUAUUUACUCCAACGCUCCCAGAAACUCAAACUUCCUCUCACUUUGCCCCCUGAAAUUUUGAGUUUCAUUGUGUAA